GUAUUAUUUAUUUCGCCGCCCAGUGGUCGACGAUGACAUUCUAGACAUACGAUAGGUGUGAUGAUGAAAUACAUAGAUCCUCUUUCGAGGACCUACAAAAGGUGCACGGGUGUGUAAUAGAAAAGGUUGGACGUGCACAUGCUUUCGCCAGCGACAGUCUUUCCCCCUUCUUGUUCGAUAAUGAUCCUUCCGCAGGUUCACCUACGGAAA
rnacentral:misc_RNA from 1 species